rnacentral:lncRNA from 1 species
UUUUCCCUCAGGGUGUUGGGGUAGCUCUAAGUAUAUAUCAGAAUUGAACAAGUUGGUAAAUAUGUUGUAGAUCAAGUUUCUCACUGCCAGAAGAAGGGGUCACAAAUAGAGGGAGGACUGAAAUGGACAUUGUGCUGAUUGAUGGAGGGUGGAGGUAACUAUCAGAACUGAUGGUUUUAGGUGGGUGGGUGGAUGGAAGAUGCAUUUAUAUACAUACAUAGGCACCAAAAUAAAUGAAGAUGAGGGGUUAGUAUACAUAUGAGUAUUUCCUGCUUCUAUGCCCUGCCUCUCUUCACUGAGGGAACAUAAAAACCAACACCCAUGCAGCCGUAAGCACCUAGGGCUGACAUCUUGGUUUCUACACAGUAUUCUCAGUCAUGGGAACAGGUCCCUUGGAGAAGUUGUGGAUUCCAGGACCACAGCAAGGAAAGAACUAGAUUAGCCUGGAGCAUUUGUAAUGCCAGAACAUAACGAAGUGCUUCAGAAAGGCCCAGGCAUGGCAGAACACACAGAGGCCCACUCACAGGGUCUCUUAAUGCCAAAGUUGAAACAGUCUGCCACAAAAUAUACAGCUGCCACAGCAAAAUUAAU